CGGGGUGUAGCGCAGUCCGGCUAGCGCGCCUGCUUUGGGAGCAGGAGGUCCCGGGUUCAAAUCCCGGCACCCCGACCA
rnacentral:tRNA from 1 species